rnacentral:rRNA from 1 species
GAUGAACGCUGGCGGUAUGCUUAACACAUGCAGGUCGAACGGACUCUUCGGAGUUAGUGGCGGACGGGUGAGUAACGCGUGAGAAUCUGGCUUUGGGUUCGGGACAACCACUGGAAACGGUGGCUAAUACCGGAUGUGCCGAGAGGUAAAAGAGAAAUUGCCUGAAGAUGAGCUCGCGUCUGAUUAGCUAGUUGGUGAGGUAAAGGCUCACCAAGGCAGCGAUCAGUAGCUGGUCUGAGAGGAUGACCAGCCACACUGGGAAUGAGACACGGCCCAGACUCCUACGGGAGGCAGCAGUGGGGAAUUCUCCGCAAUGGGCGAAAGCCUGACGGAGCAAUAACGCGUGAGGGAAGAAGGCUCUUGGGUUGUAAACCUCUUUACUUAGAGAAGAACAAAAUGACGGUACCUAAGGAAUCAGCCUCGGCUAACUCCGUG